GCGGCGGCGUGAGGAGAGCGGGGAGGCGGGAGGGGAACGGUCCUGAAAGGCCGCCUGCUGCCGGGCUGGAGGUGUGCGAGGGGAGCCGCUGAUGCGCCUCCAUCUUCGUAGGGCCGCUCUCGUGCAUCCCUGGCCUCUCGUGGCUCGCUGAGCUCCCUGCCCGCGGGCACUUGGCGCCCACGUUGCCUCCUCUGAGGAUUUUUGGUGAUGCUUUUCUGCGCGUUUUGAGUUUCACCUCUUUUUCACGUUGUUCCCGCACGAGGAGGUCGAAGCCCUUUGAGGUGAUGGCUGAGGAGGAAAGAAGGGCUGAGCGGGGCCUGGCAGCGCUGGGUGCUGCGGUGAGCCGGAGCAGCAGCACGAGUCCCGGCAGCAGGGCUGAUUUCAGGCAGCUCUCGGUGGUAUCGCCGUGCUCGGCUGCCCCAGGCUGUCAGUGUGAAGCAGAGCCGAGUGAAGUAAGUGAGGUUUCAAAUGGAGAAGCAGAUUGGAGGUGACUCUCACAACCUGCCCAGCCCGGCUGCUGUGCAGGCUCAACUCCAGCUUUGCCAUCUUCCCUUCAUGCUGUUUAUUCCAAAAGCUCGCUCACAGCGCGCAGUUAUAGAAGUCAGAGUAAGACACAAGAAAAUUCUCCAUUCAUCACUGCCCAUCAGGUACUAUAUAUUUUAUUGCAUUAUACAAUUGCCAUCCAAUCCAUUCAUUGUGCUUUCCAACGUAUCCUUAACAAAUCCUGUCCUGCAAUUGUACACUGCUAAUUCCAAGGUUCUUAACUUACGAAAAAAUACAUAUGAGAAGGCAAUUAAAGGAAACUCAGCUGAUGUGCUAGUUAGGGGCUAUAUGCAUGUGAGUGAAUGUCAUUCAGCAAAGAUAUUUUAAAAUUUACAUGAAUCUCAAAUGCUAGAGCUUUAAUGCUUAGACAGUGCAUUCAAGACAGCAGCAAAUAAAUCAUGGCAAGUUCUGCAAUUAAGUGGAAGAGAGCUGAUGCUAGAGAGUUUUACUUGCGUACUUAGGAGGAGAAAGACAUCAGUGUGAAAGCAUCUAUAAGAAACAGACUCUUCCAGGACAUAGGUAUGAUAAGCUCUCACCUGGU